AAGUCGUAACAAGGUAUCCGUAGGUGAACCUGCGGAUGGAUCAUUAUCGUAUCCAAUACUACCUAUCUACCAAUCGUGAACUGUUUGCCUUUUAUACAAUCUUCUGCCAAUCGAACUUUCGGGUUUGAUCGCUCUCUUGGAAUUGAAAGGGUGAGGCCUUCGGGUCGGCUAAUUGUAUGAAAGCGUAUUUUUCAAUUCUACUUACAUUAACCAAUUGAACCAUUUCUAAAAAUGUUUUUCUUUGUAUUGAACUGAAUUGUUUCUUACUCUCAAGCCUCAAAAACUUAGGAGAAGAAAUCGAUUUACGAAAUAAAAAGAACAACUCUUAGCAACGGAUAUCUUGGUUCUC
rnacentral:misc_RNA from 1 species